GUUAUAUGGUCAAGUGAAGAAGCGCAUACGGUGGAUGCCUUGGCAGUCAGAGGCGAUGAAAGACGUGGUAGCCUGCGAAAAGCUUCGGGGAGUCGGCAAACAGACUGUGAUCCGGAGAUAUCUGAAUGGGGGAACCCAGCCAUCAUAAGAUGGUUAUCUUGUACUGAAUACAUAGGUGCAAGAGGCGAACCAGGGGAACUGAAACAUCUAAGUACCCUGAGGAAAAGAAAUCAACCGAGAUUCCCUUAGUAGUGGCGAGCGAACGGGGACCAGCCCUUAAGUUGUAUUGAGAUUAGCGGAACGUUCUGGAAAGGACAUAGUAGUGGCGAGCGAACGGGGACCAGCCCUUAAGUUGUAUUGAGAUUAGCGGAACGUUCUGGAAAGGACGGCCAUAGUGGGUGAUAGCCCUGUACGCGAAAAUCCCUUUGCAAUGAAAUCGAGUAGGACGGGGCACGAGAAACCUUGUCUGAAUAUGGGGGGACCAUCCUCCAAGGCUAAAUACUACUGACUGACCGAUAGUGAACCAGUACCGUGAGGGAAAGGCGAAAAGAACCGCGGAGAGCGGAGUGAAAUAGAUCCUGAAACCGUAUGCGUACAAGCAGUGGGAGCCCACUUUGUUGGGUGACUGCGUACCUUUUGUAUAAUGGGUCAGCGACUUAUUUUCAGUGGCGAGCNCUAAUGGGUCAGCGACUUAUUUUCAGUGGCGAGCUUAACCGAAUAGGGGAGGCGUAGCGAAAGCGAGUCUUAAUAGGGCGUCUAGUCGCUGGGAAUAGACCCGAAACCGGGCGAUCUAUCCAUGGGCAGGUUGAAGGUUGGGUAACACUAACUGGAGGACCGAACCGACUACCGUUGAAAAGUUAGCGGAUGACCUGUGGAUCGGAGUGAAAGGCUAAUCAAGCUCGGAGAUAGCUGGUUCUCCUCGAAAGCUAUUUAGGUAGCGCCUCAUGUAUCACUGUAGGGGGUAGAGCACUGUUUCGGCUAGGGGGUCAUCCCGACUUACCAAACCGAUGCAAACUCCGAAUACCUACAAGUGCCGAGCAUGGGAGACACACGGCGGGUGCUAACGUCCGUCGUGAAAAGGGAAACAACCCAGACCGUCAGCUAAGGUCCCAAAGUCAUGGUUAAGUGGGAAACGAUGUGGGAAGGCUUAGACAGCUAGGAGGUUGGCUUAGAAGCAGCCACCCUUUAAAGAAAGCGUAAUAGCUCACUAGUCGAGUCGGCCUGCGCGGAAGAUGUAACGGGGCUCAAACCAUGCACCGAAGCUACGGGUAUCAUCUUUUGAUGAUGCGGUAGAGGAGCGUUCUGUAAGCCUGUGAAGGUGAGUUGAGAAGCUUGCUGGAGGUAUCAGAAGUGCGAAUGCUGACAUGAGUAACGACAAUGGGUGUGAAAAACACCCACGCCGAAAGACCAAGGUUUCCUGCGCAACGUUAAUCGACGCAGGGUUAGUCGGUCCCUAAGGCGAGGCUGAAAAGCGUAGUCGAUGGAAAACAGGUUAAUAUUCCUGUACUUCUGGUUAUUGCGAUGGAGGGACGGAGAAGGCUAGGCCAGCCAGGCGUUGGUUGUCCAGGUUUAAGGUGGUAGGCUGAGAUCUUAGGUAAAUCCGGGAUCUUAAGGCCGAGAGCUGAUGACGAGUGUUCUUUAGAACACGAAGUGGUUGAUGCCAUGCUUCCAAGAAAAGCUUCUAAGCUUCAGGUAACCAGGAACCGUACCCCAAACCGACACAGGUGGUUGGGUAGAGAAUACCAAGGCGCUUGAGAGAACUCGGGUGAAGGAACUAGGCAAAAUGGCACCGUAACUUCGGGAGAAGGUGCGCCGGUGAGGGUGAAGCAUUUACUGCGUAAGCCCACGCCGGUCGAAGAUACCAGGCCGCUGCGACUGUUUAUUAAAAACACAGCACUCUGCAAACACGAAAGUGGACGUAUAGGGUGUGACGCCUGCCCGGUGCCGGAAGGUUAAUUGAUGGGGUUAGCGCAAGCGAAGCUCUUGAUCGAAGCCCCGGUAAACGGCGGCCGUAACUAUAACGGUCCUAAGGUAGCGAAAUUCCUUGUCGGGUAAGUUCCGACCAGCCCCGGUAAACGGCGGCCGUAACUAUAACGGUCCUAAGGUAGCGAAAUUCCUUGUCGGGUAAGUUCCGACCUGCACGAAUGGCGUAACGAUGGCGGCGCUGUCUCCACCCGAGACUCAGUGAAAUUGAAAUCGCUGUGAAGAUGCAGUGUAUCCGCGGCUAGACGGAAAGACCCCGUGAACCUUUACUAUAGCUUUGCACUGGACUUUGAAUUUGCUUGUGUAGGAUAGGUGGGAGGCUUUGAAGCGUGGACGCCAGUCUGCGUGGAGCCAACCUUGAAAUACCACCCUGGCAACUUUGAGGUUCUAACUCAGGUCCGUUAUCCGGAUCGAGGACAGUGUAUGGUGGGUAGUUUGACUGGGGCGGUCUCCUCCUAAAGAGUAACGGAGGAGUACGAAGGUGCGCUCAGACCGGUCGGAAAUCGGUCGUAGAGUAUAAAGGCAAAAGCGCGCUUGACUGCGAGACAGACACGUCGAGCAGGUACGAAAGUAGGUCUUAGUGAUCCGGUGGUUCUGUAUGGAAGGGCCAUCGCUCAACGGAUAAAAGGUACUCCGGGGAUAACAGGCUGAUACCGCCCAAGAGUUCAUAUCGACGGCGGUGUUUGGCACCUCGAUGUCGGCUCAUCACAUCCUGGGGCUGAAGCCGGUCCCAAGGGUAUGGCUGUUCGCCAUUUAAAGUGGUACGCGAGCUGGGUUUAGAACGUCGUGAGACAGUUCGGUCCCUAUCUGCCGUGGACGUUUGAGAUUUGAGAGGGGCUGCUCCUAGUACGAGAGGACCGGAGUGGACGAACCUCUGGUGUUCCGGUUGUCACGCCAGUGGCAUUGCCGGGUAGCUAUGUUCGGAAAAGAUAACCGCUGAAAGCAUCUAAGCGGGAAACUUGCCUCAAGAUGAGAUCUCACUGGAACCUUGAGUUCCCUAAAGGGCCGUCGAAGACUACGACGUUGAUAGGUUGGGUGUGUAAGCGCUGUGAGGCGUUGAGCUAACCAAUACUAAUUGCCCGUGAGGCUUGACCAUAUAACACCCAAGCAAUU
rnacentral:rRNA from 2 species